rnacentral:rRNA from 1 species
GAUGAACGCUGGCGGCGUGCCUAAUACAUGCAAGUCGAACGCAGUUGGGACGGGUGAGUAACACGUGGGUAACCUCCCAUCAGAGGGGAUAACACUUGGAAACAGGUGCUAAACCGAUACUGAUGGAUGGACCCGCGGUGCAUUAGCUAGUUGGUGAGGUAACGGCUCACCAAGGCCACGAUGCAUAGCCGACCUGAGAGGGUGAUCGGCCACACUGGGACUGAGACACGGCCCAGACUCCUACGGGAGGCAGCAGUAGGGAAUCUUCGGCAAUGGACGAAAGUCUGACCGAGCAAUGCCGCGUGAGUGAAGAAGGUUUUCGGGUCGUAAAGCUCUUUUGGUAGAGAAGCGGUAUCUAACCAGAAAGCAACGGCUAACUCCGUGCCAGCAGCCGCGGUAAUUC